rnacentral:rRNA from 1 species
GAUGAACGCUAGCGGGAGGCCUAACACAUGCAAGCCGAGCGGUAGAGUCUCUUCGGAGCCUUGAGAGCGGCGCACGGGUGCGGAACACGUGUGCAACCUGCCUUUAUCUGGGGGAUAGCCUUUCGAAAGGAAGAUUAAUACCCCAUAAUAUACUGGAUGGCAUCAUCUGGUAUUGAAAACUCCGGUGGAUAGAGAUGGGCACGCGCAAGAUUAGAUAGUUGGUGAGGUAACGGCUCACCAAGUCAGCGAUCUUUAGGGGGCCUGAGAGGGUGAUCCCCCACACUGGUACUGAGACACGGACCAGACUCCUACGGGAGGCAGCAGUGAGGAAUAUUGGACAAUGGGUGAGAGCCUGAUCCAGCCAUCCCGCGUGAAGGACGACGGCCCUAUGGGUUGUAAACUUCUUUUGUAUAGGGAUAAACCUAGAUACGUGUAUCUAGCUGAAGGUACUAUACGAAUAAGCACCGGCUAACUCCGU